rnacentral:misc_RNA from 1 species
AUUUAAAUAAGCUAAGCCAAAAUGUUAAGAAAGACAAUUACAAAUAAAUAAAUAGAAUAACGGAGAGUUUGAAUUUGGGCCCUUUGUACCAAUUUUAAAUCUCAUGGGCUUUUGUCCCAAAACCUGUCCUGCAAAUGAAUGAGUUUGACUCCUUUUCACUCUCAAACACCUGUGUAUACAACAAAUGUAUAUUGUUGUAUAUAGAUCAUAUUUUGACCGAUUUUCAUGUACAUCGGACUGUAUACCAA